rnacentral:ncRNA from 2 species
CGGUCAAACUCUGGAGAGCGGCCGCGGCAUCAUGCCGGCGGCACACCGAAGGGGCAGGCGGCACACACACCGCUAUCUCUCAGGUAUCAAGGACAGAGGGGCAAGA